rnacentral:tmRNA from 1 species
GGGAGCGACUUGGCUUCGACAGGAGUAAGUCUGCUUAGAUGGCAUGUCGCUUUGGGCAAAGCGUAAAAAGCCCAAAUAAAAUUAAACGCAAACAACGUUAAAUUUGCUCCUGCUUACGCUAAAGCUGCGUAAGUUCAGUUGAGCCUGAAAUUUAAGUCAUACUAUCUAGCUUAAUUUUCGGUCAUUUUUGAUAGUGUAGCCUUGCGUUUGACAAGCGUUGAGGUGAAAUAAAGUCUUAGCCUUGCUUUUGAGUUUUGGAAGAUGAGCGAAGUAGGGUGAAGUAGUCAUCUUUGCUAAGCAUGUAGAGGUCUUUGUGGGAUUAUUUUUGGACAGGGGUUCGAUUCCCCUCGCUUCCACCA